rnacentral:rRNA from 1 species
AUAUCAAUAAGCGGAGGAAAAGAAACUAACAAGGAUUCCCCUAGUAACGGCGAGUGAAGCGGGAAGAGCUCAAAUUUGAAAUCAAAUAUCUUCGAUGUUUGAAUUGUAAGCUAGAGAGGUGUUUUCGGCGGGUGCCUGGGUAUAAGUCCUCUUGGAAUAGGGCGUCAUAGAGGGUGAGAAUCCCGUCUUUGACUCGGAGCUACCUGCUGUGUGAUACAUCGUCAAAGAGUCGGUUUGUUUGGGAAUGCAGACCUAAAUGGGUGGUAAAUUCCAUCUAAAGCUAAAUAUAGGCGAGAGACCGAUAGCGCACAAGUA